rnacentral:rRNA from 1 species
AUUGAACGCUGGCGGCAGGCCUAACACAUGCAAGUCGAGCGAGCGGCGGACGGGUGAGUAAUGUCUGGGAAACUGCCCGAUGGAGGGGGAUAACUACUGGAAACGGUGGCUAAUACCGCAUACUAUCAGAUGAGCCCAGAUGGGAUUAGCUAGUAGGUGGGGUAAAGGCUCACCUAGGCGACGAUCCCUAGCUGGUCUGAGAGGAUGACCAGCCACACUGGAACUGAGACACGGUCCAGACUCCUACGGGAGGCAGCAGUGGGGAAUAUUGCACAAUGGGCGCAAGCCUGAUGCAGCCAUGCCGCGUGUAUGAAGAAGGCCUUCGGGUUGUAAAGUACUUUCAGCGGGGAGGCGUUACCCGCAGAAGAAGCACCGGCUAACUCCGUGCCAGCAGCCGCGGUAAUAC